rnacentral:tRNA from 1 species
UGGUUCAGAGGUUAAAGCGUCUGCCUGCAAAGCAGGAGACCUGGGUUUGAUCCCUAG